rnacentral:rRNA from 1 species
AUUGAACGCUGGCGGCAGGCCUAACACCUGCAAGUCGAGCGAGCGGCGGACGGGUGAGUAAUGUAUGGGAAUCUGCCCGAUGGAGGGGGAUAACUACUGGAAACGGUGGCUAAUACCGCAUACUAUCGGAUGAACCCAUAUGGGAUUAGCUAGUUGGUGGGGUAACGGCUCACCUAGGCCACGAUCCCUAGCUGGUCUGAGAGGAUGAUCAGCCACACGGGAACUGAGACACGGUCCAGACUCCUACGGGAGGCAGCAGUGGGGAAUAUUGCACAAUGGGCUCAAGCCUGAUGCAGCCAUGCCGCGUGUAUGAAGAAGGCCUUAGGGUUGUAAAGUACUUUCAGCGGGGAGGCGUUACCCGCAGAAGAAGCACCGGCUAAAGCCGUGCCAGCAGCCGCGGUAAUUC